AGUUUUUGAGACAGUGACUUAUUGUGCUGACUAUGCUAGCAGCAAACUCCAGGACUCAAGAAUUCCCUCCACUUCAGCCUCUUGAGGAGCCUGCAUUACAGCCCACCCACUUCUCCAGGUCAAGUCUCCAUGCAGAAGCCCACAGAGCUGCCCUUUUAGGACACUUGGGUGACUUUAGCUCAGAACUUGAAUAAGGAGAAUGUCAAUCCCUCCUCUCUCCAGUAAUUCAGCUGGGUGACCUUGAAUAAGCACUCUGCCUCCCUCAG
rnacentral:lncRNA from 1 species